AAAAAAUCUUGAUAUAUUAACAUUUCAGUUGGUGACCUGUCAUAUUAUUGGCAAGACAACUGUACUUCCUAAAUGUUUGCCUUUAAAGUUUUAGAGUGAUAAUUUGUAUUUCUUGUAUUUUUCACCUUUUGAAGACAGAUUUGUUAGCCCUUUAUAUAAUUUUCCUAUAACUCUUAACCUUACAUCUAUAUUAUGAGUCAACAUAUUUAUCCUAAAUAUCCGUUAUGUGAUAUGUAACAUUCAUCAUACAUUUAUAACAUAUAUUACAUAAAUAAUAGAACUAUUCAGUGAAUAAAAGCCUUCCUUUCCUUGUAACAUUUAAUUCUAUUAUGAUAUACUACUGUGUUACUCCUGAAAUAUCUGUUACAUUUCUGGCUGUUUUUUUCUGUUUCUGUUUUGAACUAUAAUGUUAAAUAGUGCAUUAUAUAGUAUACUAACAUCUGUAAAUACAAAUCAAUGAGCUUUUCAUUUAUGCCAGAAACUAUAGCUCUAAAGCCUCCAGACUUAUUGCAAGACUCUUUCCUGUACCUGUCACUACUUCAUAAGCUGGGAAAUUGAGUUCUGACUCUUUCUGCAUCCUUGGCUUCAUGACUGAUCGGGUAUCCACAUUUCAGUAUAGUAACCCAUGAGCUGUGGUUUGUGGAAGACAUUCCAGAAAAGCUUUCUGGGACAUCACAGUUUUAUUUUGUCAUUGACUGUGGCCGCCCAAUGGUUGGAAGUCUCAGUGUCCUGCUGUUAUUUUCUCCUAAUGGACGGGUAUUCACCAGGAACCUGGCUGGUGUCAUUCCUGACUGGCAUUCUUUAACAUUCAUUCGUGGCGAGAAGAAGUCAGAGAAGCAUGGAGGGAAACCAAAUAUUUGGCUCAAGCACAGCAGGGAACCAGUAGAUAAUUGAGGGUUGGAGCCCUUCAAUCUCCAAAUAUGUUGAAAUGUACCUCAAAAUGUAACAUUAUUUAGAAAAAAAGUGAGAGAUGCAAUGAAGAGAAACUCAUAUUCAAAAUUCUGCCCAGUUUUUUAUGUGAACAAGCUCCAAGCUGCCUACUUGAGGAUGGUGACCACGUGGAGCUGAGAUAAACCACUCCAGAUUAUGUCAUUUGUGUCAGUUCUCAGUGGGUACUAUAACAAAUAAUCACAGAUUUGGGAGCCUAAAAUGACAACAAUUUAUCGUGUAACAGUUUUGUAGAACAGAAAUCCAACGUAGAUCUCACUAGACUGUAAAAUCAGUGUUCUUUCCUUAAGGCUCUGGGGAAGACUACUUCUUAUCUUUUCUAGCCUCUGCAUGCUCCCUGCAUUCCUUGAUUUAUCAUCCUUCUAUCUUCAAACCUAGCAACAGCAGGUGAAAUUCUUCUUACAUCACAUCACUUUGCUUUCUUCUGACUCCUCUUUUUUGUACUUUUAAGGACUCAUGUUGUUACAAAGAAGGCUUAUUUCAAGGGCAACUUAAUUGCAACUUCAAUUCCAUCUUCAGUUGUAAUUCCUGUGCAGUAGGUGACGUAACACAGUCACAGAUUCCAGAUUAGAGUGUGGACGUGUCUGAAGGGAGCAAUAAUUGCUUUGUCCAUACCAUCCUUGAUUAGCCAGCAUCUGACAAACUCAGAAACUGGUUGCAGGUUCCUGAGUGAGUCUAGCUGUGAUCGAAACAGCUUAACUGAACAGGGCACACGUGGCUGGUAUGCAAGGUUGGAAUAUAUGAAUUGAAUAAAAGUGGAUUAAUCACUUAAAAAAGUUUAGCUGACAUUGUGUGAAACAAAAGAAAAUGAAGACAGUCUUUGAAAAGCUGGAACAAAUGUGAACUUAGGUGUGCUCCAACAUCAGAUUUCCAAAACCAGCCUGAAUAUGUUAAGUACUCCGUCUUUAUUUACAAGUUUUAUUAAUCAUUUUUGCUCUUUUCCAAAUAAUGGAGUUAGCAUUAGAUAAACUCAGUCUCUCUGAAUUUUUUUGCAAUAUGAAAAAUCACACUGCAAAUUUUCCCUAUCAACUUUCUCAAUGUUGCUCUUAGAUGACCUCUAUUCACAAAAAAGAGGGUUAACCUCUAGGCCCUGGUUCUUUAAAAUGAAAUAGCUUGUGCCCUGGGCCAAUUUUCCGUUAGGGGGUAAGUAUUAUUUAACAACCUUCUUGAGCUGUUCAGUUACAUUUUUACUUUUACUUUCAAGUAUGUUUAACUUGAACAAAGUUGUAACUUGUACUGUCUGGCAUAGAUCUCAUGGCCAGCUGUUGGAGUUUUGUUUGUCACUGAGGAAAGAACUUGAUAUAUUCCACAGUCUAAAUUCUCUCUGUUUCAGUUGUGAGACUGAAGGGGGAAAAUGUCAAAGCAAAUUUUCUCUGCAAGAAUUUUAGUAUCCUGAAUAAAACUUCAGAGAAACUGGAUCUCAAAGUGAUGUUCACGUGGAAACUAUGACCCAAACAGAGUAAUUUCUAAUUAAAGCACAUGAAGUUUUUACCUUGUAAUGUUUUUACCCUGCAGUGUUUUAUCUAUGAUUCCAAGAUUUCCAUUUCAAGUAUUUACUAGUGUAACAUGCAAAAGCAGUGGGUUAACAUCAUCAAUUUGGUGCCAAAGUCUCAUAAAAUGAGCCCAUCUAAAAAAUGAAUAAAAAUAAAAUAAAAUGAGUCCAUCUGUGUAAUAACAGCCCAAUGGUGUAAAGUCUAGUGGGUGUAGAUAGGUGGGAAUGGGGAUGUUGUUGAGUAAUAAGGAGCUCUUUAUCUGUGAAAAAAAAAAGAAAUUAUUACUAAAAACUUGAAAUUAGAAGUAAGUAGAUAAAAGCAUUAUUUGGCAGUAGCAUAAGAAUUAUACAUUCAAAGCCAUUGGACACUAAAUCCAUCUGCUUGUGGUUCCCUGUACAACUGCUCAGGAAAUUAAAAACUAAAUAAUUACAUCAUUGAAAUUUUUAUUUCUGGAUUCACUUUGCUUCUUCUUUCCUCUUGGAAUGUUUUGAAAUUUAUCACCAUAAAAUCUGAGCAGGAUAUUAAAAAAAAUUGUUUUUUUUUUCUAUUUUUAUUAUAAGAGAAGGAAUUUAGAGUAACCUGUGAAACUUGAAGAUUCUUAUGCAUUCACUUAAUGAUGAGAUAUAUCUCUUUUCUUAACCUCUUCUUGAUUGUGUUUCUAUU